rnacentral:rRNA from 1 species
GAUGAACGCUGGCGGCGUGCCUAAUACAUGCAAGUCGAGCGAACGGACGAGAAGCUUGCUUCUCUGAUGUUAGCGGCGGACGGGUGAGUAACACGUGGAUAACCUACCUAUAAGACUGGGAUAACUUCGGGAAACCGGAGCUAAUACCGGAUGAUAUUUUGAACCGCAUGGUUCAAAAGUGAAAGACGGCCUUGCUGUCACUUAUAGAUGGAUCCGCGCUGCAUUAGCUAGUUGGUAAGGUAACGGCUUACCAAGGCAACGAUGCAUAGCCGACCUGAGAGGGUGAUCGGCCACACUGGAACUGAGACACGGUCCAGACUCCUACGGGAGGCAGCAGUAGGGAAUCUUCCGCAAUGGGCGAAAGUCUGACGGAGCAACGCCGCGUGAGUGAUGAAGGUCUUCGGAUCGUAAAACUCUGUUAUUAGGGAAGAACAUAUGUGUAAGUAACUGUGCACAUCUUGACGGUACCUAAUCAGAAAGCCACGGCUAACUACGUGCCAGCAGCCGCGGUAAUACGUAGGUGGCAAGCGUUAUCCGGAAUUAUUGGGCGUAAAGCGCGCGUAGGCGGUUUUUUAAGUCUGAUGUGAAAGCCCACGGCUCAACCGUGGAGGGUCAUUGGAAACUGGAAAACUUGAGUGCAGAAGAGGAAAGUGGAAUUCCAUGUGUAGCGGUGAAAUGCGCAGAGAUAUGGAGGAACACCAGUGGCGAAGGCGACUUUCUGGUCUGUAACUGACGCUGAUGUGCGAAAGCGUGGGGAUCAAACAGGAUUAGAUACCCUGGUAGUCCACGCCGUAAACGAUGAGUGCUAAGUGUUAGGGGGUUUCCGCCCCUUAGUGCUGCAGCUAACGCAUUAAGCACUCCGCCUGGGGAGUACGACCGCAAGGUUGAAACUCAAAGGAAUUGACGGGGACCCGCACAAGCGGUGGAGCAUGUGGUUUAAUUCGAAGCAACGCGAAGAACCUUACCAAAUCUUGACAUCCUUUGACAACUCUAGAGAUAGAGCCUUCCCCUUCGGGGGACAAAGUGACAGGUGGUGCAUGGUUGUCGUCAGCUCGUGUCGUGAGAUGUUGGGUUAAGUCCCGCAACGAGCGCAACCCUUAAGCUUAGUUGCCAUCAUUAAGUUGGGCACUCUAAGUUGACUGCCGGUGACAAACCGGAGGAAGGUGGGGAUGACGUCAAAUCAUCAUGCCCCUUAUGAUUUGGGCUACACACGUGCUACAAUGGACAAUACAAAGGGCAGCGAAACCGCGAGGUCAAGCAAAUCCCAUAAAGUUGUUCUCAGUUCGGAUUGUAGUCUGCAACUCGACUACAUGAAGCUGGAAUCGCUAGUAAUCGUAGAUCAGCAUGCUACGGUGAAUACGUUCCCGGGUCU